rnacentral:rRNA from 1 species
AUGGGCGCAGCCUGAUGCAGCGACGCCGCGUGCGGGAUGACGGCCUUCNNCCAANUAAACCGCUGUNGAUCGGGAGCAAGCCUUCGGGUGAGUGUUCCUUUCGAAUAAGCACCGGCUAACUACGUGCCAGCAGCCGCGGUAAUACGGAGGAUCCGAGCGUUAUCCGGAUUUAUUGGGUUUAAAGGGAGCGUAGGCGGACGCUUAAGUCAGUUGUGAAAGUUUGCGGCUCAACCGUAAAAUUGCAGUUGAUACUGGGUGUCUUGAGUACAGUAGAGGCAGGCGGAAUUCGUGGUGUAGCGGUGAAAUGCUUAGAUAUCACGAAGAACUCCGAUUGCGAAGGCAGCCUGCUGGACUGUAACUGACGCUGAUGCUCGAAAGUGUGGGUAUCAAACAGGAUUAGAUACCCUGGUAGUCCAAGGGCGAAUUC